UACGGAGGGUGCGAGCGUUGUUCGGAAUUACUGGGCGUAAAGGGCGCGUAGGCGGCCUUCUAAGUCAGACGUGAAAUCCCCCGGCUUAACCUGGGAACUGCGUCUGAUACUGGAAGGCUUGAGUGCGGGAGAGGGAUGUGGAAUUCCAGGUGUAGCGGUGAAAUGCGUAGAUAUCUGGAGGAACACCGGUGGCGAAGGCGGCAUCCUGGACCGACACUGACGCUGAGGCGCGAAAGCUAGGGUAGCAAACGGG
rnacentral:rRNA from 1 species